rnacentral:lncRNA from 1 species
GGGCGGAUGGUUUGGACUUGCUGCUGCAGCUGCGGUUCUGCUGUGUCAUGCAAGAAGGAGGCGGCGGCGGCGGCCGGAGCUGGAGGGGGAGGAGGGGAGGAACCUGAUCCUCGGUAGCGAAGGGCUGGAGGCAAACACCGAGCUCCCCCUGAGCCGCCUGGGAGCAGGGAGGGUUCUGCUACCCUGAGGGGCCCUCCCCGCGGGGCAGAGGGGUUUCCUCAGCAGUGCCCCGGAGCAGGGACCGCGCCAGCCAGCAGAAACAGCUAGUUGUUGUCUGCAGUGAAGAAUAAUUGGAAGCAUGGUGCCUGUUUCUUUUCCUGUGGGAGGAAGUCACAGCAUCUACUUCUGAAUCUGUGCUUGCCUUGAGGAAAAACGGCAUGGCACAGGAAUGUGGACGCUUUCAACCAGAGGAUUCUGUACGACGGUGUCGGCACACAAGGAGUGUUCCACUGACUGACCUCUUUUUGUUUUCAAAUGAAGAGGAGCCAAGAAUAGGACAGCUUGGGAAGGUGAGCUGCGUAUAGCUCGUCAGGCUGAGCUCAUCCUCGUCUACGGCCAAACGUUGGUUUCUCAUUUCUAGAAGAUGAAAGAUGUGAUGACUCAGGAAAAACUGGAAUCUUAGUAACUGUGGUGGGCAUUGAGCCUUGCCGUCCACAAGAGAAAGCUUGCUGCUCGAGAUGUGAGUCUUCAGAUGUUCCUGCCGCCAUAUCUGACAGCUGCUGCCAAGAUUCCCUGGUGGGAUGGACUCUUAUACCUCAACAACCAGAAGCCCAAGUAAACUCUUCUAUAAAUUGAAUGACUCAUGCUUAAAAAAAAAAACAAAAAACAAACUAUCUUUAUUUUGUGUGCAUUGGUGUUUUGCCUACAUAUAUGUCUGUGUGAGAGUGUCAGAUUCCUUGGAACUGUAGCUACAGAUAGUUGUGAGCCACCAUGUGGGUGCUGGGACUUGAACCCCAGUCCUCUAGAAGAGCAGCUGGUAGGUACUCUUAACCACUGGACCAUCCCUCUAGACCCUGAUCAUGGUGUUUUAACUACAGCAAAA